rnacentral:tRNA from 3 species
GUGGCGGCUAGCUCAACAGUAGAGCACCAACUUUGCCCUUACGGGCCGCAGAUUUAGGGUUAUCGCUUGAAAAUCGACACCCCCUUAAUCGCCGGAGAUGCGGGUGCAACCCCCGCGCCGCUACACCA